AUGCAUCGUCCAGAUGCAGAGGCCAGGGGUACAUCCUCCUUUUGUAAAAAAAAACGCAAGAACUUCAACAAGCACGUCAAAGGUAGCGUUGGGCCGUUCGGGCUCUGGCUGCUGGCCUCCAACGACCUCAAGGAGAGGACGGCCGUCUUCUUCAGGGUGUUCAAGACCAACGACACCAACUACGUCGUCCUCAUGUGCAAUGACCCGACAAGGUCGUCAUAUGAGUCGCAGAUCUACAGGCCGACCUUUGCCAGCUUCGUCAACAUCGACAUAGCCAAGACCAAGAAGAUCGCCCUCAGGACAUUGAUUGACCAUUCUGUGUGGAGAGCUCCGGGGCCGGCGGCAGGACGUGCAUCCUGA
rnacentral:rRNA from 1 species